rnacentral:RNase_P_RNA from 2 species
CCAGAGGGCCGGGCGGCCGCCCGCCUUCGCUGAAGCUACGGCGGGCAAGCGCAUGCGUUUACCAGCCGAAGCCUUGGCGAAGGCUGGAGGAAAGUCCGGGCUCCACGGAAGAACGGUGCCGGGUAACGCCCGGCGGACCGCCAUAGCCUCGGCGACGGCAGUUCAGGGACAGUGCCACAGAAAACAUACCGCCCGGCUUUAGGCGGGUAAGGUCGAAACGGUGCGGCAAGAGCGCACCGCGCUUCCGGCAACGGCGGCGGCACGGUAAACCCCACCGGGUGCAAGACCGAAUAGGGGCGGUGCAUGAGCUUUUCCGGCUCGCCGCCCGGGUUGGUCGCUUGACCCCCGGCGCAAGCCUGGGGCUAGAGGAAUGGUCGCCCAUUCGCCUGCCUUCGGGCAUAGGCGGAGGACAGAACCCGGCUUACAGGCCCUCUGGCAAA